UUAUUUCUGGCUUUUAUCAGGGCUUGCUUUUGGGAAAUUGAUAAAAGUUAGCGAUGAAAAAUUUAACUAACGUACCGUCUCGCCGUGCAGUCACCGAGGUGGUGCGUUUUUUU
rfam:Lactobacillus camelliae DSM 22697 = JCM 13995 strain DSM 22697 NODE_105, whole genome shotgun sequence.